rnacentral:rRNA from 1 species
UACGAAGGGGGCUAGCGUUGCUCGGAAUUACUGGGCGUAAAGCGCACGUAGGCGGCUUUCUAAGUCGGAGGUGAAAUCCUGGAGCUCAACUCCAGAACUGCCUUCGAUACUGGAGAGCUUGAGUCCGGGAGAGGUGAGUGGAACUGCGAGUGUAGAGGUGAAAUUCGUAGAUAUUCGCAAGAACACCAGUGGCGAAGGCGGCUCACUGGCCCGAUACUGACGCUGAGGCACGACAGCGUGGGGAGCAAACAGG